UGUGGUCUGAGUUCACCAUAUUUCCACAGUAUGACAUUGAAGAAGAAAGGAAUUUUACUUGUCACUUGAUAGUUACUAUCUCAUGACACUAAGCUAUGACUUGGAGACAAAGACCAAGUCAAGCCCCACUGUGAGAUUCAAUGAUUCUUUGGUGGAGAAAGAAGCAUUUGAUGUGGAGCCUGACACACCUAAAGUAAGCUCCAUAGGGCAAGGAUUUUUGUCUACUUUGCUCACCACUGUAUCCCAUGGGCC
rnacentral:lncRNA from 1 species